UGAUAUGUACAGUUAUUCUGU
rnacentral:miRNA from 1 species